AUGCACCUCGAGUCAGAUGGUGCCUUGGAAAGCUUAGAACUUGCUGUUGCUAACAUGGCAGAAUUUGUUGUCCUUCUGAGUGGAUGUGAGCGCAUGUCUCGUAGGCCAUAUGAUGUUUAUCUUUACACCAACAACUUCAUGUUCAGCCGACAUGCUGAAAAGCAAAAACUAUUGAGCUUCUUGUUGGAGCACAACAAUCCUCCUGGUGAUCAUGCACCGACAGUUCUUCCAAUCAUAGGUGGUUUCGGAGUUGGAAAGAAAACAUUGGUUGCUCAUGUGUAUGCAGAUGAAAGGGUUCGCUCACGCUUCUCCUCUACAUUGCACUUGAAUGGAGACAACCUCUUGACAAUACUGGACCAUGGAGGGGCCAUGUUUGACAUGAUGUUGGUAGUUAUAGAGUUUUCUUCUGAUAUAAGUGACGACGAAUGGAAAAAGUUUCACUUGUUUCUCGUAAGAAUGAGUAGAGGAAGCAAGAUCAUCAUCGUAAGUAAACUGAAAAGAUUAGCCCGUUUUGGAUCAGUGCAACCUAUUUUCCUAAGUGUUUUGUCUUAUGAUGAGUUGAGGUAUCUUUUUAAGACCCUAGCAUUCGGGAGUGUAGACCCUGCAGAACAUCCACAACUAGUAUAAUUAACAGAUGAGUUUGCCAAGGAGUUAUAUGGUAAGCAAGGUUCACUUGUAGCAGUAAAUACGUUCGCCCAGGUGUUGAGAAUGAACCUCACUGUUCAGUUUUGGCGUUGCAUAUUUGGUAAGGGGAUAAGACAUGUUGAAAGAAACCUCUCCAUAUAUGGUGAGCACCCAAGCAAGCUUAAAGAACAAGGCCUUCCAGUCGACAUAACGGACUUUGCUUUGCAUCCACUUACCAUGACAAGUUAUACAAGUAAUGUUCCAAUCAAGGAGGAAUCACCAAGUGUGACAUUUGGAGAGCUUCUAGCAGAUCCUAGUGUUAGGCCAGAAGGAGAGUUCACUCUAAUUGAAUAUGAAUCAAGGAUCCCCCCUCAUAAAUCAUUUGUUCAUUUUGUUACAAGUCGAGCUCAGGAUACACAUGAAGGAAGUAGUAGUACCUUGCCAGGGAGGAAGCGACGGGGUGGGCCAAUCUAA
rnacentral:rRNA from 1 species